AGUCCUUUUUUUUCCUCCUUUUCUUGGAAUGAUUUUGCUUCUUAGAUUUUAUGUUAGAAUAUAUUGUUACCUUUUAAAAGAAAUUCUGUGUUUCAUUCUCUUAAUUUGGAUCUGAAUAUCUGAUCUCAUUAUGUCAGUAUCAAAAUUAUUCCAAGUUUAUUCGUAUGCGCAAUUAUGAGUAUUAUUACGUCGUAAUUCUCGUGUUUUCUUUAAUUAGACACAAUCAUUCAAUCCUGAAUUCAACUGAAAAUCAGAUAGUUUCAUUAUAAAUUUUCAAACAUAUAGGACCAAACUUGGAUUGUACUCCAGGAAUCGGGUUGGCAACAACAACAAUACUGUACAUAAUAACUUCCAUUAUGUUUUACUCCAACGAGGCAAGUAGAGUUGGUAAAGUACAACAGGUAAGGUAGGUAUUUUAUUGAAUGAGUUUGAAUGUAACUGUCUACCUGUAUUUAGGACAUGAUGUAUUUACGAGGUGUUUGGGUUUGGGAAACUACUCAAUCCCAUGUGUGUAUAUAAUCAAGAUACACAUUUUUUUCCCCUCAGUUAGAAUGGUUUGCAAAAAUUGUAGCUAAGCAAUAGCUCUUUUCCAAAUGCAUCAUUCUGUUAGGAAGGCAUUGUUAAGGAUCGAUAAUUCGUGAGACCUUGACAGUUCUGUAUAGUUGAUAGAGCAUUCACUAUUGCGGCAUCGUAGUCAUCAUCAAUCUGAGUGGCUUGGUCACACCACCAUUUGCUGUGGAGGGGAGGCACCGAGACAAUUUCUCAAACAAGAUGGAAGUUCUUGGGUCUCUUAAUUCGAAAGAUGGUCCAAAACACCGCCCAUUGACUCCUCUGAGGAUAAUAAGGGGAAUAUUGUGUUUACUUGUGAUUCUUGCAACUGCAUUCAUGAUGUUAGUUUAUUGUGCACCUGUGACCACUCUUACGCUGCUCAUUUUCGGCAGACGUUAUAGUAGGAAACUAUCAUCUUUCAUUUUUGGUUAUUGGCUAGCUCUGUGGCCCUUUCUAUUUGAAAAAAUAAACAAGACCAAGGUUGUAUUCUCUGGAGAAACUGUUCCUGCUAAAGAACGGGUUCUGAUCAUCGCAAACCAUAGGACUGAGGUUGACUGGAUGUACCUUUGGGACCUUGCUUUGCGGAAAGGACGUGUAGGGUACAUUAAGUAUGUCCUCAAGAGCAGUUUAAUGAAGCUCCCAGUCUUCGGUUGGGCAUUUCACAUUCUGGAAUUUAUUUCAGUCGAGAGGAAAUGGGAAGUUGAUGAACCGGUGAUGCAUCAAAUGCUUUCAACUUUUACUGAUUGUGAAGAUCCUCUGUGGCUUGCUCUUUUUCCAGAAGGCACCGAUUUUACGGAGCAGAAGUGCCUGAGGAGUCAGAAGUACGCUGCCGAGAAUAAUUUGCCUAUCAUGAAGUAUGUGCUUCUUCCAAAAGCAAAAGGUUUUUAUGCCUGCUUGGAAACCAUGCGGAGCUCCUUAGAUGCAGUUUAUGAUGUAACAAUUGCAUACAAGCAUCGGUGCCCCUUUUUCAUAGACAACGUUUUUGGUGUGGAUCCAUCAGAAGUUCACAUUCAUCUUCGACGUAUCCCCCUCAAAGACAUCCCAACUACCGAGGACGAGUCUUCUGUCUGGUUGAAUGAGGCAUUCCGUCUAAAGGAUAAAUUGCUCUCUGAUUUUACUGCUGAAGGCCAUUUUCCUAAUCCAGGGACCGAGGAAGAUCUCUCUACAUUGAAGUGUUUGGUGAACUUCACGUUCGUAAUUGCCAUAACUAGUAUAUUUACAUUCCUAACAUUCUUCUCAUCUAGUUGGUUUAAAUUAUAUGUUGCUGCAAGCUGUGCAUACCUUGCUUCUUCUACCUAUUUCAACUUUAGGCCGUUGCCGAUUCCUGUGUUUUUAAAGCCCAUAUUUUGCGGAAAACAUUCUGAUUAAUGAGUGGCUUCACAUAGGUUUUAGCCAAUGUUGCACAAUCGAACUUGAUUUCCAUUUGGAGUUAUGCAUGAUAGCUGAAUGUGACUGUGCUAAACCAAACAAAAUUUUCAUUCGGCAAUAUUCCUUUGCGUCUCAAGAUCGUGCUUUCGUGUUGGUACGAAGAUUUCAUUACCCCGAGAAGAGGAGAGCAGCAAGUAGCACCGACUUUAGAACUUCAAAGCAGUUUCUGCAUUACAUCCCAAAUUUCUAGGGGUCGUGAUUAAGUGAUUUCGAAGCCAAAACUGCAAC